UACAGAGGGUGCGAGCGUUGUCCGGAAUCACUGGGCGUAAAGGGCGCGUAGGUGGCCCGACAAGUCUGUGGUGAAAGCUCGACGCUCAACGUCGAGUCGGCCAUAGAUACUGUUGGGCUGGAGCACUGUAGAGGCUCAUGGAAUUCCGGGUGUAGCGGUGGAAUGCGUAGAGAUCCGGAAGAACACCGGUGGCGAAGGCGGUCUGCUGGGCAGUUGCUGACACUGAGGCGCGACAGCGUGGGGAGCAAACAGGG
rnacentral:rRNA from 1 species